UACGGAGGGUGCGAGCGUUGUCCGGAAUCAUUGGGCGUAAAGGGCGCGUAGGUGGCCCGGUCAGCGUGCGGUGAAAGCUCGGGGCUCAACCCCGAGUCGGCCGUGCGAACUGCUGGGCUUGAGCACUGUAGAGGCAGGCGGAAUUCCGGGUGUAGCGGUGGAAUGCGCAGAUAUCAGGAAGAACACCCGUGGCGAAGGCGGCUCUCUGGGACGGUACUGACGCUGAGACGCGAAAGCGUGGGGAGCGAACAGG
rnacentral:rRNA from 1 species